rnacentral:rRNA from 1 species
AUUGAACGCUGGCGGCAGGCUUAACACAUGCAAGUCGAGCGGGGUGAUGGUGCUUGCACUAUCACUUAGCGGCGGACGGGUGAGUAAUGCUUAGGAAUCUGCCUAUUAGUGGGGGACAACAUCUCGAAAGGGAUGCUAAUACCGCAUACGUCCUACGGGAGAAAGCAGGGGAUCACUUGUGACCUUGCGCUAAUAGAUGAGCCUAAGUCGGAUUAGCUAGUUGGUGGGGUAAAGGCCUACCAACGCGACGAUCUGUAGCAGGUCUGAGAGGAUGAUCCGCCACACUGGGACGGAAACACGGCCCAGACUCCUACGGGAGGUAGCAGGGGGGAAUAUUGGACAAUGGGGGGAACCCUGAUCCAGGCAUGCCGCGGGUGUGAAGAAGGCCUUAUGGUUGUAAAGCACUUUAAGCGAGGAGGAGGCUCUUUUGGUUAAUACCCAAGAUGAGUGGACGUUACUCGCAGAAUAAGCACCGGCUAACUCUGUGCCAGCCGCCGCCGUAA